CGCGUAGGUGGUUUGUUAAGUUGGAUAUGAAAGCCCCGGGCUCAACCUGGGAACUGCAUCCAAAACUGGCAAGCUAGAGUACGGUAGAGGGUGGUGGAAUUUCCUGUGUAGCGGUGAAAUGCGUAGAUAUAGGAAGGAACACCAGUGGCGAAGGCGACCACCUGGACUGAUACUGACACUGAGGUGCGAAAGCGUGGGGAGCAAACA
rnacentral:rRNA from 1 species